rnacentral:ncRNA from 1 species
CUGAACGCGAGGAAGAGGAAAGUAAGAUCCGCAACGUAUCACAGCGAGCCUGGUUGGAUGAGAACAGGCAUACGGAACGGUUUUGAAGAUGGCCUUGGAGCGGGAGGGAUGAGCUGGCACAUCAGUGAGUCCUUCAAGGGAGCACCCUUUAUCGUGCACGGGUGAAGCAGGCCUUCACUCAUUGAGGGAUCCAGCCGCGAGGGGGAUCCGAACAAAGGUGGUAACACGAAGCGUCCGCAUUCGUCCUUAAC